rnacentral:piRNA from 1 species
UCUUUCAAAUUUCUCAUGGAU